rnacentral:rRNA from 1 species
UAUAAAGUCUGACCUGCCCACUGAAAUUUAUUUGAAGGGCCGCGGUAAUUUGACCGUGCGAAGGUAGCAUAAUCAGUAGCCUUUUAAUUUGUAGGCUGGAAUGAAUGGUCGGACAAGGGGUUAGCUGUCUCUUUCGUUUCUCUUGAAGUUUACUUUUAAGUGAAAAGGCUUAAAUAUUUUUGGGGGACGAUAAGACCCUAUAAAACUUUACAGUUUGUUUAUAUUUUUUGAAGUAUUUGUAUAAUAUUAGUUAUAAAUGUUCUGUUGUGUUGGGGUGACAAAGAUAAAAUAAGUAACUGUCAAAUAUAUGAAAUAAUGAUAAUUAGGUAAUUGAUCCUCUAUUAGAGAUUAAAAGAUUAAGUUACUUUAGGGAUAACAGCGUAAUUUUCUCUGAGAGUCCUUAUCGACGAGAGUAGUUGCGACCUCGAUGUUGAAUUAAGAUUUCUUUUAAAUGUAGCAGUUUAAUUAGUAGGUCUGUUCGACCUUUAAAAUCUUACAUGAUU